UACGGAAGGCAGCAGUGGGGAAUAUUGCACAAUGGGCGAAAGCCUGAUGCAGCUAUGCCGCGUGUAUGAAGAAGGCCUUAGGGUUGUAAAGUACUUUCAUCGGGGAGGAAAAAACAAAACUAAUAAUUUUAUUUCUUGACGUUACCCGAAAAAGAAGCACCGGCUAACUCCGUGCCAGCAGCCGCGGUAAUACGGAGGGUGCUAGCGUUAAUCAGAAUUACUGGGCGUAAAGAGCACGUAGGUGGUUUUUUUAAAGUCAGAUGUGAAAUCCCUGGGCUUAACCUAGGAAUUUGCAUUUUGAAACUGAAAUACUAGAGUAUCGUAGAGGGAGGUAGAAUUCUAGGUGUAGCGGUGAAAUGCGUAGAUAUCUGGAGGAAUACCUGUGGCGAAAGCGGCCUCCUAAACGAAUACUGACACUGAGGGUGCGAAAGCGUGGGGAGCAAACAGGGAUUAGAUACC
rnacentral:rRNA from 1 species